rnacentral:rRNA from 1 species
CGUUUCUCCGCCGGCGACCGGCGCACGGGUGAGUAACACGUAUGCAACCUGCCCCGUGUCAGGGGGACAACCGCCGAAAGGCGGGCUAAACCCGCGUACAUGCCACCGGGGCAUCCCGGAGGCAGGAAAGGCUUCGGCCGGACAGGGAUGGGCAUGCGGCGCAUUAGGCAGUAGGCGGGGUAACGGCCCACCUAACCGACGAUGCGUAGGGGUUCUGAGAGGAAGGUCCCCCACACUGGUACUGAGACACGGACCAGACUCCUACGGAAGGCAGCAG